GAAAUAUUGAAACGUUGUUCAUACAUCUUUGAAUGACCUUUUAUGUGCUGACAAUAUGUUCUGAAAUGAAGAGAUUUUACCCCUGAUGAAGUCUUGGAACAAGACGAAACGCGUUGGGUUAUUUAUCUAUCUAUUAUCUGAUGUUACCUCCGAAUCUACAAUAAGGAGAAGGAGGAAAUCGUAGUGAUAUAUCUACGCUUUUUCCUCAUCACUACAAACUGAUUGUUCAAAUUGUGCGACAAAUGUAAAUGUAUUAACUCUGUAUACUUAUGAACAUUUGUGUCGGGUUUAUAUGUUGUUUUAAUAAAUUUUUAUGUUAGUA